UUGUUUCGCAUGUGCCAACUGGCCUAACCAAGCCAUGAACACAGACUGAAACUCCUAGGCCUAAGCGUCAACACUCCUGAGCACCAGAAAUUGCAGUGGCGUUUUGUAUAUGUAAAGCUCCUGCUCUUACAGAAACAGUGGUUUAAUUAAGGGGAAAAAUGACUUUAGUGUUUUCCUACUACUAUCCCUCAGUACAAAAGCACCAAAUUUGGUUUUUUGUUUUUUUGCGAUUUUAAAACGUUGCUGUUUGAGUCGCUGGCUUGAAUCAUAAAAAGAAAAAUUAGUUGAAUUUUAUCUUAGGAUCAAGACAGAAGUCCCAACAAUUUUUGAAAUGGCCCUAAAUAUUCUUUUGUCGUUUUCUACGAAGUAUUCGUGGCUAAGCAAUAUUCUAAGCACUGAUGAUUAAAAGUCAAUUAACUUUUUAUCAUUUUUAAUAUUGGCAACACUAAAAAAUGUUAAAGAUAGUCUACGUCCUGUAGUAUCAAGUAUUCGGCCACAGUUUAAUUAUUUCUUAAGCAAAGGUAAAAACUACAAAAGUUUCUCAGGCAAAGAGUCUGCGAAUGAAGAAAGUUUAAAAAGCCCUUUGAUAGAGCGAGGCUGGAAGCUGGUGCUGGAGGAGACCCAUGCCAGCUUCUAUCCAAACGUUCCUGCCCUGGAUUGUAAAAAACUGCUGUGGCUUCUCGAGAAUCACCAUCCUCAGGAGAGAGACAAUUGAGCACCUGCUACCCACCAGAGACAGACAUCUGUGUCACCGAAUGCCACCGCCUCCCAGCCGUUACCAGACUGUUCCAUUGACCCUUGGUGGCCACCUGGUGUGAUGACCUCACUCUCCCGAUCAGUG
rnacentral:lncRNA from 1 species